rnacentral:lncRNA from 1 species
GAGAUUCCAGCAAUGAAGGUUACCGCACUUAGGUUCACCGAGACAGCAAGGGCUAGGAUUAUCAAUGCUGGUGGGGAGUGCCUCACAUUUGACCAGCUUGCUCUCCGUGCUCCACUUGGCGAGAACACGGUAUGCUUUAGUUCAAUGCGACAACAUGUUUCUGAAACAAUAAUAGUUUGUGCAUGUUUGAAAUUGUAACACUUAUCAAUAAUUGUAAGCCUCAUGAACCUAAUAAGCAUGACAAAAAGUGUGUAAAUAACUUUGCUAAUCCUGAUGUUACCCUGAUUGUUUCAGCUGGAUUAUUCUCAUUAAGAUUUGGUAGAAAAGCAAACUUUUCAACCUUUUUUGUUGUUAGUUUCAUUGAUUAUGUAAAUCCUAAUUUCUGGUUCCCAGUGAUGGUAUAAAUUAACCAUGCUAAUACUGAUUUCCUUUGACGAGUAUGAUAAUGUGCUGAGGGAACCAUAUAUCUGCAUUAUUUCUUUCACUCACCUGGAACAUUAAGUUCUUUGUUCUUUUUUGGUUCUGCUAAUUCAAAUGUUAAGCAGCAGCAUGUUGUCUUGAAUGAUGUUUGCAAUGAUGAUACUUUCUACCCAGCUCAUUAUGAAACUUCCCUCUGUGGGUUGUCAUGAUAUGUGCUUUUCCUUUGAAUCUGAGCUCAUUCAAGAAUUUUAUGCUCAGUUUUUUGUACCUUGUUUUUUUUAGCAGCACUAUCUUACUAUUUAUUUAGUUGCCUGAGUUAAUUAGGCAUAACUAGGUCUAUCACCUUGCUGUGAUGAUAAAUUUUCUAAUCCCAGCUCGAUGAGACUUCCCUUUGUGGGUUGUCUGGGAUCAAAAAAAGACCUUAGUAUCUGAGCAGGCUUGUGGUUUUGUUAUGUUAGCAAUCUUUUUAAAUGUGCAGUUCAUUCUGUCAUGUGCUGAUUUCAAAACAUUGUGUAGUCUUAAAUGAUUUUUGCAAUGAUGAUACUCUUUUACCCAGCUCAUUAUGAGACUUCCCUCUGUGGGUUGUCAUGAUAUGUGCUUUUCCUUUUGUAUCUGAGCUCAUUUGACAAUUUUGCUGAGUCCUUUGGUAUUUAGUUUUUUUUAACAAGCUUCUGUUCUUUUGCCUAACCAUUUAGUUACCUGACACAGCUUGAUUUUGUUCUGCAGUGAUGAUAAAUAUUCUAAUCCCAGCUCUAUGAGACUUCCCUUUGUGGGUUGUCUGGGAUCAUAAAGUUUCCUUGUAUCUGAGCAAAGCUUUUGCAUUCAAUAUUUCAGCAGUCUUGUAUAUUGUGCAAUUUAUCCAGUCCUGUGCUGUAAUAUUACCAUUCUUAGUAGAACAAUCCAUCUCCUGCAUUGUUUAAGCUUCCUUUAAUUUGAUGAUAAGCUGAUGUUGUCAAUGUUGGCCUUCUGUAGGUCCUCCUGAGGGGUCCUAAGAAUGCCCGUGAGGCAGUGAGGCACUUUGGCAAGGCUCCUGGUGUGCCUCACAGCCACACCAAGCCAUAUGUGCGCUCCAAGGGAAGGAAGUUCGAGAAGGCUCGUGGCAGGAGGAACAGCCGUGGGUUCAAGGUCUAAUUGCCUGUGCGUGUUGCCAUCAGCAUUGUGCGACAGUUCUGUUUGAGCGAUCGACAGUAAUU